UACGGAGGAUGCAAGCGUUAUCCGGAAUGAUUGGGCGUAAAGCGUCCGCAGGUGGCUAUGCAAGUCUGCUGUCAAAGCCUGGGGCUUAACCCUAGAGAGGCAGUGGAAACUGAAUGGCUAGAGUACGGUAGGGGUAGAGGGAAUUCCCGGUGUAGCGGUGAAAUGCGUAGAGAUCGGGAAGAACACCAGUGGCGAAAGCGCUCUGCUAGGCCUGUACUGACACUGAGGGACGAAAGCUAGGGGAGCGAAUGGG
rnacentral:rRNA from 1 species